rnacentral:rRNA from 1 species
CUACGGGGGGCAGCAGUGAGGAAUAUUGCACAAUGGGGGGAACCCUGAUGCAGCAACGCCGCGUGGAGGAUGACGCAUUUCGGUGUGUAAACUCCUUUUAUAUGUCAAGAAAAUGACGGUAGCAUAUGAAUAAGCACCGGCUAACUCCGUGCCAGCAGCCGCGGUAAUACGGAGGGUGCAAGCGUUACUCGGAAUCACUGGGCGUAAAGGACGCGUAGGCGGGUUGGAAAGUCAGGUGUGAAAUCCUACAGCUUAACUGGAGAACUGCACUUGAAACUUCUAAUCUAGAGUAUGGGAGGGGGAGAUGGAAUUAGUGGUGUAGGGGUAAACUCCGUAGAUAUCACUAGGAAUACCUAAAGCGAAGGCGAUCUCCUGGAACAUUACUGACGCUAAGGCGUGAAAGCGUGGGGAGCAAACAGGAUUAGAUACCCUCGUAGUC